UUUAUUGGAGAGUUUGAUCCUGGCUCAGGAUGAACGCUGGCGGCGUGCCUAAUACAUGCAAGUCGAGCGAAUGGAUUAAGAGCUUGCUCUUAUGAAGUUAGCGGCGGACGGGUGAGUAACACGUGGGUAACCUGCCCAUAAGACUGGGAUAACUCC
rnacentral:rRNA from 1 species